GCUCUGAUGCAAGCACAUGUUCUUUCCAUCUUGGGCGAGCAUUGUGUCGUUUUCAUGUUUUUCUAUAGCCAUUACCGCUUGCUUGUCCCAGCGUUCAAACCCAUCUGGGAGGGCAUCUGGAAUCCAGCUCCGUGUCCUCGCAGAGUACUGUCGAAUAAAGGCAUUAACCUUUCCCGGGGCCCACCCCUUGAAGUUAUCCUUUGGCAGAAUCCAACGAUCCGGCUCGAUCAGAUUAGGUCGCGGAAACGAUUUGUUAGCAAGGGAAUAGCUUCCCGCACAGUGUUUCGUCCUAGAAUGCAUCGCGCUGCCCAAGGCGACCGGCAAGGUUGCCGAAAUAUGAUUGUAGGGAAUGGCCGGUCGAAGGAAGACCAAAAACGCCAAGGCGCAGAGGGUAGUCAAGCCACAGAGGGGCCACAGCCGAACGACUCUCUGGGUUGAAAAUUCCUUUUUGACUCGAGCGAGGGGGAGCAUCAUGUCCCAAUUGGCCGGUGAAGCGAACUUCGAUAUCGAUGCCAGCCAGCAGCCGGUUUUGUUAUAGAAGACGGGCGUGAUCGCCAACGAGGCGAAGACCAAGGCCAGGCCCGCAACGCAGACGGGCACGAUUCCACUCAUCAUCAGCCUCAUGGCAGCAGGAUCGCUGGCCACACUUCCGGCUGCAUCCCAUUGCAACUCCCCGCCAGUGACAUAAUAAAACCCAAACUGUGACGCUGCGGCACCGAGAGAGAUGGUCCUAACGAACGAAAAGGACAACCGGUUAGCUCAACAUCGCAAGAUCUCUGGCAACGAGGUGGGAGGGGAAUGAGAGGGGAUGCUCCAUACGCAAGAAAACCACCUAUGCAGAGACCAAGGAUCGACGUGAUAUUGCGACUCUGGCCAUGCAGCAGCACGCGCUGGGCUACGAUGAGGAAACAAUCCUGGAGAAAGAAGGUCGGGAAGUAGACGACGAAAUGCAGCAGCGGAAUGGAGUGGGCAUGCAGGAACAGAUGGAGCAGUUUUGAAGCGAGGAGAGCAACGGUGAGCACGGAGAAGAAGAAGGGCUGGAAAACACGAAACGAAGGGACGCCCAUGGCCGCGACGAGGACGAGGAGAUGUCUGCGGGUGGCUGCACGCCCAUCCCGUAGAGCGGAAACGGAGGAGCACAACCACUAACUAUAUCCAAAAGUAAAAAGGGAGAGGAAGAUGAGGAAUGAAACGAACAGAAGCGACAGGUGUCGAGAGAGAAAGAACGGAAGCGAAAAGAGAGAACGAAAAAUAAUCAUAGGAACUGGCGGAGGAGAAAAAGAGAGAAAAAGAGAAAAAAAGAGAGAGAGAGAGAGAGAGAAUGAGAGAGACUCCGAGUCGACCCUCAUCCUUUUGAGGAAAGAUAUGCGCCAGUGUCUGUGCUGGUGAGUCGCCGACUCGUGUCUGCGGGACAGUGCUAGACAGUGCUAGACAGGGCUAGUCCGCCGGGCUGGAGUCGGGUGGAUUCUGUUUCUUUUCUUCUUCCUCUGCUGUCUUUUUUGUUUGUUUGUUGUGUCUCUCCCAAAGAACGAAGGAGGAGGCUCUUGUUUGGUUUUGUUUCUGGGACCUGCGUCCGGGGAAAAGAAAAAGAAAAAAAAAAAAAAAAAACCACAACGAGGGGGAUGGCGGGCAACCAAAAAAAUAUGGCUUGGGAUGCAACAGCAGGCGUAUCGUUGGAGUACCAAAAAAACCCAAAGUAACAGAAACUACAUUUUUUGCGUUUGCCUUGCCGUUACAGCGUUCCAGGUUAGAUGCCUCAAUGCUCUCUCACACAUCGUUGGCCCGAUGGCCGGCAGUCCAGAGCCAGACGCCAUCACAAAACCCUGUUUUCGACGCAGGCUGCCUUCCAGUGCUAUUUCCGCCAUGGUUCAGGCCGCCGACGCCGUAUUGCAGGUGUCGUAGCAUCGAAGUAUCAACGUAUCGAAGUUUCGCAGUUCCGCAGUCUCACGGUGCAGGGUCCGGGUCCCAGGCACCUGGCCAAGCUGAACGCGGUCC
rnacentral:sRNA from 1 species